rnacentral:rRNA from 1 species
CGACCGCGACCCCAGGUCAGGCGGGACUACCCGCUGAGUUUA